rnacentral:rRNA from 1 species
UACAGGCUUAACACAUGCAAGUCGAGGGGCAGCAUGGUCUUAGCUUGCUAAGGCCGAUGGCGACCGGCGCACGGGUGAGUAACACGUAUCCAACCUGCCGUCUACUCUUGGACAGCCUUCUGAAAGGAAGAUUAAUACAAGAUGGCAUCAUGAGUCCGCAUGUUCACAUGAUUAAAGGUAUUCCGGUAGACGAUGGGGAUGCGUUCCAUUAGAUAGUAGGCGGGGUAACGGCCCACCUAGUCUUCGAUGGAUAGGGGUUCUGAGAGGAAGGUCCCCCACAUUGGAACUGAGACACGGUCCAAACUCCUACGGGAGGCAGCAGUGAGGAAUAUUGGUCAAUGGGCGAGAGCCUGAACCAGCCAAGUAGCGUGAAGGAUGACUGCCCUAUGGGUUGUAAACUUCUUUUAUAAAGGAAUAAAGUCGGGUAUGGAUACCCGUUUGCAUGUACUUUAUGAAUAAGGAUCGGCUAACUCCGUGCCAGCAGCCGCGGUAAUACGGAGGAUCCGAGCGUUAUCCGGAUUUAUUGGGUUUAAAGGGAGCGUAGAUGGAUGUUUAAGUCAGUUGUGAAAGUUUGCGGCUCAACCGUAAAAUUGCAGUUGAUACUGGAUAUCUUGAGUGCAGUUGAGGCAGGCGGAAUUCGUGGUGUAGCGGUGAAAUGCUUAGAUAUCACGAAGAACUCCGAUUGCGAAGGCAGCCUGCUAAGCUGCAACUGACAUUGAGGCUCGAAAGUGUGGGUAUCAAACAGGAUUAGAUACCCUGGUAGUCCACACGGUAAACGAUGAAUACUCGCUGUUUGCGAUAUACAGCAAGCGGCCAAGCGAAAGCGUUAAGUAUUCCACCUGGGGAGUACGCCGGCAACGGUGAAACUCAAAGGAAUUGACGGGGGCCCGCACAAGCGGAGGAACAUGUGGUUUAAUUCGAUGAUACGCGAGGAACCUUACCCGGGCUUAAAUUGCAGAUGAAUUACGGUGAAAGCCGUAAGCCGCAAGGCAUCUGUGAAGGUGCUGCAUGGUUGUCGUCAGCUCGUGCCGUGAGGUGUCGGCUUAAGUGCCAUAACGAGCGCAACCCUUGUUGUCAGUUACUAACAGGUUCCGCUGAGGACUCUGACAAGACUGCCAUCGUAAGAUGUGAGGAAGGUGGGGAUGACGUCAAAUCAGCACGGCCCUUACGUCCGGGGCUACACACGUGUUACAAUGGGGGGUACAGAGGGCCGCUACCACGCGAGUGGAUGCCAAUCCCCAAAACCUCUCUCAGUUCGGACUGGAGUCUGCAACCCGACUCCACGAAGCUGGAUUCGCUAGUAAUCGCGCAUCAGCCACGGCGCGGUGAAUACGUUCCCGGGCCUUGUACACACCGCCCGUCAAGCCAUGGGAGCCGGGGGUACCUGAAGUGCGUAACCGCGAGGAGCGCCCUAGGGUAAAACUGGUGACUGGGGCUAAGUCAUAAC